rnacentral:rRNA from 1 species
GCCGAAAGGCAAGAGUGCCCGCAAGGGAGCGCGGAGACAGGUAAUGCAUAACUGUCGUCAGCUCGUGUCGUGAGAUGUUGGGUUAAGUCCCGCAACGAGCGCAACCCUCACCCCUUGUUGCCACCAGGUUAUGCUGGACACUCUAGGGGAACUGCCCCGGUCAACGGAGAGAAAGGCAAAAACGACGUCAAGUCAUCAUGCCCCUUACGUCCUGAGCUACACACGUGCUACAAUGACCGGUACAGAAAGAUGCUAGACCGCGAGGUGGAGCUAAACCCAAAAAGCCGGUCUAAGUUCAGAUUGGAGUCUGCAACUCGACUCCAUGAAAAAGGAAUCGCUAGUAAUCGCGUAUCAGCACGACGCGGUGAAUACGUUCCCAAACCUUGUACACACCGCCCGUCACACCACGAAAGCCAGCUGUACUCGAAGUCGCUGAG